UACGGAAGGUGCAAGCGUUGUUCGGAAUGACUGGGCGUAAAGCGCACGUAGGCGGUCUCGCAAGUCGGAUGUGAAAUCCCUAGGCUCAACCUGGGAACUGCACUCGAAACUGCUUGACUUGAAUGCUUGAGAGGUUGGUGGAAUUCCAGGUGUAGGAGUGAAAUCCGUAGAUAUCUGGAGGAACAUCGGAGGCGAAGGCGGCCAACUGGCAAUGCAUUGACGCUGAGGUGCGAAAGCGCGGGGAGGCAA
rnacentral:rRNA from 1 species